rnacentral:rRNA from 1 species
AUGAUUGGCGUCAUGUCAAAGAGAACAGUGAGAAAGUUCGUGUAUCCUCGAUCAUGUGAAAAAUUGAUACUCAAAUCAAUUGGAAGAGACUGGAGGAAAUUUAAGUCUAGUUUGAAAGAUGCUUUCUUCAAUCCCGCAAUUCAAAAAAAUCCAAUCAUCAAGCGAAAGGCUUUGUAUAAGCUCUGUCCAGAAGAUGUGGACAACGAUCAAUGGCGUGGGCUUGUUAAAUAUUGGAAGUCCAAAAAAGGAAGGGCCCUCACUGAGAAGAACAUAAUUAGCCGUUCCCUCAUGAAGGAUUCACAUAAUGCUGGCACAAAGAGUUAUGCUUGA